UUGAAAUGCAUCUUUUCAGUGUCAGAUUUACACACGCUGAACACAGUUUGGUGACUUUUCCUGUCAUUAUUUACAGGCUUUAGCUGUCAUUGCCUGCGGUUUUGCAUAGUAAGGACUGUUCUUUCUUACCGGUCUGCACAUCAGUGCAUGCUCAAACAAACAUAGCUGCCUAGUUUUCCAUUGGCUGUGACAAAAUGUCCUCAUUAAAAGAAAGCAGCGCAGACGGAAUCCUUCCUGAUCCUGACAGGGGCUUUCCUUCCUCACUGUCUGGUUCAGAGUUAGUUCGCCUGAAAAAAAAAACACACACACACACACACAAACAUCUACAUCUUUUGUGUUUUUUUUUUUUUUGUUGUGUUGUGUUUGUCAAGACUUGUUAGCUACUUGCUUAGUGACUCUGGCAAAGUUAGCAUAGCAUUUUGGCUAGCUUGUUGUUUGGCUAAGUUGUUAGCUAGACACUUGGUGACCCUGGCAAAGUUAGCAUAGCAUUUUGGCUAGCUUGUUGUUUGGCUAAGUUGUUAGCCAGACACUUGGUGACCCUGGCAAAGUUAGCAUAGCAUUUUGGCUAGCUUGUUGUUUGGCUAAGUUGUUAGCUAGAAACUUGCUGACCCUGGCAAAGUUAGCAUAGCAUUUUGGCUAGCUUGUUGCUUGGCUAAGUUGUUAGCUAGACGCUUGGUGACCCUGGCAAAGUUAGCAUAGCAUUUUGGCUAGCUUGUUGUUUGGUCAAGUUGUUAGCUAAAUGCUUGGUGACCCUGGCAAAGUUAGCAUAGCAUUUUGGCUAUCUUGUUGUUAGCUAAAUGCUUGGUGACCAUGGCAAAGAUAGCAUAGCAUUUUGGCUAGCUUGUUGUUUGGCCAAGUCGUUAGCAGUCUGUUUAAAGUUUUAUAGCAUAGAGACAAACAUGUUUCAUUUUUAACAGGAUGGGUCAUCUGUCAUGAGGCUCAGCUUUAGUGUGGGACAUAGAUAAGACCCAACUUCAUGUUGCUAAGCUAACACACAUUAGGCAAAU
rnacentral:lncRNA from 1 species